rnacentral:rRNA from 1 species
UGCGCAGGCGGCUGAUUAAGUCGGAUGUGAAACGGCCCCGGGCUCCAACCUGGGAAUUGCAUUCGAUACUGAUCAGCUAGAGUCUGGUAGAGGUAAGCGGAAUUCCGGGUGUAGCGGUGAAAUGCGUAGAUAUCCGGAGGAACAUCAGUGGCGAAGGCGGCUUACUGGACCAAGACUGACGCUCAGGCACGAAAGCGUGGGUAGCAAACA